rnacentral:rRNA from 1 species
UGCAGUCGAGCGCACCCUUCGGGGCGAGCGGCGGACGGGUUAGUAACGCGUGGGAACAUACCCUUUUCUAUGGAAUAGCCUUUGGAAACGAAGAGUAAUACCAUAUACGCCCUUCGGGGGAAAGAUUUAUCGGAGAAGGAUUGGCCCGCGUAAGAUUAGAUAGUUGGUGGGGUAAUGGCCUACCAAGUCUACGAUCUUUAGCUGGUUUUAGAGGAUGAUCAGCAACACUGGGACUGAGACACGGCCCAGACUCCUACGGGAGGCAGCAGUGGGGAAUCUUGGACAAUGGGGGCAACCCUGAUCCAGCCAUGCCGCGUGAGUGAUGAAGGCCUUAGGGUCGUAAAGCUCUUUCGCCUGUGAAGAUAAUGACUGUAGCAGGUAAAGAAACCCCGGCUAACUCCGUGCCAGCAGCCGCGGUAAUACGGAGGGGGUUAGCGUUGUUCGGAAUUACUGGGCGUAAAGCGCGCGUAGGCGGACUGGAAAGUUGGGGGUGAAAUCCCAGGGCUCAACCCUGGAACUGCCUCCAAAACUAUCAGUCUAGAGUUCGAGAGAGGUGAGUGGAAUUCCGAGUGUAGAGGUGAAAUUCGUAGAUAUUCGGAGGAACACCAGUGGCGAAGGCGGCUCACUG